AGCUCAGUUGGAUAGAGUAUCGGCCUCCGAAGCCGAGGGUCGCAGGUUCGAAUCCUGCC
rnacentral:tRNA from 1 species